rnacentral:rRNA from 1 species
UAGGGAAUCUUCCGCAAUGGACGCAAGUCUGACGGAGCAACGCCGCGUGAGUGAAGAAGGAUUUCGGUUCGUAAAACUCUGUUGUUAGAGAAGAACAGCGCAUAGAGUAACUGUUAUGCGUGUGACGGUAUCUAACCAGAAAGCCACGGCUAACUACGUGCCAGCAGCCGCGGUAAUACGUAGGUGGCAAGCGUUGUCCGGAUUUAUUGGGCGUAAAGCGAGCGCAGGCGGUCAAUUAAGUCUGAUGUGAAAGCCCCCGGCUCAACCGGGGAGGGUCAUUGGAAACUGGUUGACGUGAGUGCAGAAGAGGAGAGUGGAAUUCCAUGUGUAGCGGUGAAAUGCGUAGAUAUAUGGAGGAAUACCAGUGGCGAAGGCGACUCUCUGGUCUGUAACUGACGCUGAGGCUCGAAAGCGUGGGUAGCAAACAGG